AAUAGGUAUAAAAAACAAACCUCCAUCUUAUAAUUUAAAUAUAUUGCUUAACGUAAAGACUAAUGUUACAUUGAUACAAACAUGAUGAACAUACUAAUGGAAACAUGCUACUGAUAUUCUUUAUUUAGGCUACAUCAGAUCCAGAGCCAUCUGCAGACCAAUGGCCUUCAUGUCAUUCUUACUGAGGGCUGAUGUCAUGUACAUAUGCAUCUCCAAAAACCGCCCUGAAAACAUCAAAAUGUGUCAACUCUACAAGUUUGGCCAAAGAUCUGUGUUUAAUUUCUGCCCCGGCCCAUCUCUUUGUCCUACCCUCUGGUUCUUCAUCGGCCUGGUCCAUCUCCAGCUUGGUCAAGAGACUCACAAACCACUCGAAGGAUUUCUGAUCUCGGUUGAUCCAGAUGAAGUCCACCUGAAAGAAAACAAAACAAGAAGAUGAUUGCUCUAAAAACAACUGUCAUUGGUUAACAUAGCAGAAACUUAAGGAUAAACGGUCGAGUGUGUUUGCGAUGCUAACCGAGAGCCGCGGCGGUGCAGUGGGCGAUCAUGAAGCCAGAGUUCAGGCCUCCUUCGUUCACCAGGAACGCAGGCAGUUCGCUGAGCGACGGAUUGCAAAG